rnacentral:rRNA from 1 species
UACGAAGGGUGCAAGCGUUACUCGGAAUUACUGGGCGUAAAGCGUGCGUAGGCGGUUUGUUAAGUCUGUCGUGAAAGCCCUGGGCUCAACCUGGGAAUUGCGAUGGAUACUGGCAAGCUAGAGUACGGUAGAGGAUGGUGGAAUUCCCGGUGUAGCGGUGAAAUGCGUAGAGAUCGGGAGGAACACCCGUGGCGAAGGCGGCCAUCUGGACCAGUACUGACGCUGAGGCACGAAAGCGUGGGGAUCAAACAGG